rnacentral:rRNA from 1 species
GACGAACGCUGGCGGCGUGCUUAACACAUGCAAGUCGAACGGAAAGGCCCUGCUUUUGUGGGGUGCUCGAGUGGCGAACGGGUGAGUAACACGUGAGUAACCUGCCCUUGACUUUGGGAUAACUUCAGGAAACUGGGGCUAAUACCGGAUAGGAGCUCCUGCUGCAUGGUGGGGGUUGGAAAGUUUCGGCGGUUGGGGAUGGACUCGCGGCUUAUCAGCUUGUUGGUGGGGUAGUGGCUUACCAAGGCUUUGACGGGUAGCCGGCCUGAGAGGGUGACCGGCCACAUUGGGACUGAGAUACGGCCCAGACUCCUACGGGAGGCAGCAGUGGGGAAUAUUGCACAAUGGGCGGAAGCCUGAUGCAGCAACGCCGCGUGCGGGAUGACGGCCUUCGGGUUGUAAACCGCUUUCGCCUGUGACGAAGCGUGAGUGACGGUAAUGGGUAAAGAAGCACCGGCUAACU